rnacentral:rRNA from 1 species
UGAGUGCGAGCGGCUAUGGCCGCGAAGUGGGUGAUGUCAAGCUUCCAAGAAAAGCCCUAUACCCGUUAAGGCAUGAUGGCCUGUACCCGAAACCGACACAGGUGGGGUGGUAGAGAAUACCGAGGGGCGCGAGGUAACUCUCUCUAAGGAACUCGGCAAAAUGGCCCCGUAACUUCGGGAGAAGGGGUGCCACCGCAAGGUGGUCGCAGUGAAGAGGCCCAGGCGACUGUUUACCAAAAACACAGGUCUCCGCUAAGUCGCAAGACGAUGUAUGGGGGCUGACGCCUGCCCAGUGCCGGAAGGUUAAGGAAGCUGGUCAGCGCAAGCGAAGCUGGCGACUGAAGCCCCGGUGAACGGCGGCCGUAACUAUAACGGUCCUAAGGUAGCGAAAUUCCUUGUCGGGUAAGUUCCGACCCGCACGAAAGGCGUAACGAUCUGGGCGCUGUCUCGGAGAGAGGCUCGGCGAAAUAGAAUUGUCUGUGAAGAUGCGGACUACGUGCACCCGGACAGAAAGACCCUAUGAAGCUUUACUGUAGCUUGGUAUUGUGCCCGGGCUCUGAAUGCGCAGGAUAGGUGGGAGGCUUUGAUCCAUGGCUUGCGGGUCAUGGUGAGCCAACGGUGAGAUACCACUCUUUCAGAGCUAGGGUUCUAACGGUCACCCGUCAUCCGGGGACCGGACAGUAUCAGGUGGGCAGUUUGACUGGGGCGGUCGCCUCCUAAAAGGUAACGGAGGCGCGCAAAGGUUUGCUCAGGCUGGUUGGAAAUCAGCCGACGAGUGCAAAAGCAGAAGCAAGCUUGACUGUGAGACCUACAAGUCGAACAGGGACGAAAGUCGGCUUUAGUGAUCCGACGGUUCUGAGUGGAAGGGCCGUCGCUCAACGGAUAAAAGUUACUCUAAGGAUAACAGGCUGAUCUCCCUCAAGAGUUCACAUCGACGGGGAGGUUUGGCACCUCGAUGUCGGCUCAUCGCAACCUGGGGCUGAAGUCGGUCCCAAGGGUUGGGCUGUUCGCCCAUUAAAGCGGUACGCGAGCUGGGUUCAGAACGUCGUGAGACAGUUCGGUCCAUAUCCGGUGCACGCGCAGGAACAUUGAGAGGAUUUCUCCCUAGUACGAGAGGACCGGGAGGAACGCACCUCUGGUGUGCCAGUUAUCGUGCCAACGGUAAACGCUGGGUAGCCAUGUGCGGAGUGGAUAACCGCUGAAAGCAUCUAAGUGGGAAGCCCACCUCAAGAUGAGUGUUCCCAUGGCAUAAGCCAGUAAGGUCACGGGAAGAACACCCGUUGAUAGGCUCUACGUGGAAGCCGGGUAACCGGUGAAGCGGAGGAGUCCUAAUAGACCGAGGGC